rnacentral:rRNA from 1 species
UACGGAAGGGGCAAGCGUUGUUCGGAAUCAUUGGGCGUAAAGGGCGCGUAGGCGGUCGCGUGUGUCUGCUGUGAAAGCGCACGGCUCAACCGUGUGAAGUCGGUAGAAACUGCGGGACUUGAGGCUGGGAGAGGUUGGUGGAAUUCCCUGUGUAGCGGUGAAAUGCGUAGAUAUAGGGGAGAACACUCGUGGCGAAGGCGGCCAGCUGGACCAGCCCUGACGCUGAGGCGCGACAGCGUGGGUAGCAAACAGG